rnacentral:misc_RNA from 1 species
UCGUAACAAGGUUUCCGUAGGUGAACCUGCGGAAGGAUCAUUACCGAGUGAGGGCCCUCUGGGUCCAACCUCCCACCCGUGUCUAUCGUACCUUGUUGCUUCGGCGGGCCCGCCUCACGGCCGCCGGGGGGCAUCUGCCCCCGGGCCUGCGCCCGCCGAAGACACCUAUGAACUCUGUCUGAAGAUUGCAGUCUGAGUGAAAUGAUAAAUUAUUUAAAACUUUCAACAACGGAUCUCUUGGUUCCGGCAUCGAUGAAGAACGCAGCGAAAUGCGAUACGUAAUGUGAAUUGCAGAAUUCAGUGAAUCAUCGAGUCUUUGAACGCACAUUGCGCCCUCUGGUAUUCCGGAGGGCAUGCCUGUCCGAGCGUCAUUGCUGCCCUCAAGCACGGCUUGUGUGUUGGGCCCUGUCCUCCAUCCCCGGGGGACAGGCCCGAAAGGCAGCGGCGGCACCGCGUCCGGUCCUCGAGCGUAUGGGGCUUUGUCACCCGCUCUGUAGGCCCGGCCGGCGCCAGCCGAUCAACCACACUUCUUUACAGGUG